CCUACGGGAGGCAGCAGUGGGGAAUAUUGCACAAUGGGGGAAACCCUGAUGCAGCGACGCCGCGUGAAGGAAGAAGGUUUUCGGAUCGUAAACUUCUAUCAGCAAGGAAGAAGGAAGUGACGGUACCUGACUAAGAAGCCCCGGCUAACUACGUGCCAGCAGCCGCGGUAACACGGAGGGGGCAAGCGCUAUCCGGGAUCACUGGGAGUAAAGGGUGCGUAGGCGGCAGGGCAAGUGCGUUGUGAAAGCCCGGGGGUCAACCCCGGGAUUGCAUUCGAAACUGUCUUACUAGAGUGAUGGAGUGGAAAGCGGAAUUCCUAGUGUAGCGGUGAAAUGCGUAGAUAUUAGGAAGAAAACCAGUGGCGAAGGCGGCUUUCUGGACUGUAACUGACGCUGAGGCACGAAAGCGUGGGGAGCGAACAGGAUUAGAUACCCCAUAGUC
rnacentral:rRNA from 1 species